rnacentral:rRNA from 1 species
UACAGAGGUCUCGAGCGUUAGGCGGAAUCACUGGGCUUAAAGCGUGUGUAGGUGGAUCGUUAAGUACCUUGUGAAAUCCCACGGCUUAACCGUGGAACUGCUUGGUAUACUGGCGGUCUUGAGCCAGCUAGGGGCUACCGGAACAAAUGGUGGAGCGGUGAAAAUGCGUAGAUAUCAUUUGGAACGCCAAUGGUGAAAACAGGUAGCUGGGGGCUGUGCUGACGC